UGUGACUUGCACUUUUCUGACAACUCUUGUGU
rnacentral:piRNA from 1 species